GACGAGAGGCCCAAACGUUAUUCGGAUUUACUGGGCUUAAAGAGUUCGUAGGCGGCGCAGAAAGUAGGGUGUGAAAGCCCUCGGCUCAACCGAGGAAUUGCGCCCUAAACUACUGUGCUUGAGGAAGCUAGAGGUGAGCAGAACAGAUGGUGGAGCGGUGAAAUGCGUUGAUAUCAUCUGGAAUACCGGAGGCGAAGGCGGCUCACUGGGGCUUUUCUGACGCUGAGGAACGAAAGCCAGGGGAGCGAACGGG
rnacentral:rRNA from 1 species